UUGUGCUAGGCGGGGAGCUAGCGGUGCCCUUUUCCCGAAAUCCGCUUUAUGCGGGGCUGAAUUCCCUCUGGAGGGUUUUAACCUGGAAGCUUAUAAGUCAUUUUGAUCGGCCGCCGCGCAACAGACGGUUACGAACCUCGUCAGGUCCGGAAGGAAGCAGCGAUAAGUAAUGCAGUCUGUGUCGUGGAUCGAUCCCGGUCAAGCUUCUGGCUUAUUCUAUUUCAGGAAGAGACUCAAUAGGGGGUGCACAA
rfam:Desulfobacterales bacterium PC51MH44 PC51MH44_contig000078, whole genome shotgun sequence.